rnacentral:lncRNA from 1 species
UCACCUCCAACUUGGGUUAUUUAUUAAAAGUUGUUCUAAGAAAAUAUUUAUAAAAUUGAAAAAUAAUUGGUGGCAACAAGUACGCGACAACGAAUGUGACUCGUAUUUAAAAGCAGAUAGGGUAGGUCAAACUUUAAAAAAUCUAAACAUGCAUCAGAAACUCGGUUUUGCAUCAUCCACGAUGUCCUGAAGGGGAAUCCGAGUAACUCGUCACCAGCUUGCUGAAAGAAAUAGAAGUACUCUUCAACUAAUUAUGCAGAAACAUAGUAGAAAAGUUGCAUAAACCUGGACCCAGUCAACCUUCAUGAACUAUGGCAAUGAAAGAAUUUCUAGAAACAAGGAGAAACAAUUCUAGAUUUUCAUAAAUGCAUCAGAAAAAGGAGCAACUCUUGUCAAAAUAAAAUAGAUUUUCAUAAAUGCAUCAGAAACUCGGUUUUGCAUCACCCAUGAUGUCCUGAAGGGGAAUCCGAGUAACUCAUCAUCUGCUCCAGGGUAAUGUUUUGUUAUGUACAAACAUAUAAAUACAUAUACUGAUAUACAACUAUAUAUAUAUGACAUAAAAAAGUGAGAAAUUUAAAGUCAUUUGGGUUACAAGCAAAUGAAAAAUAACACCAACUUUGAUGUCUUAAAUUUAAAAGACCAGUAUGCAAGAGAAAAUUAGUUUUAAAAAAAUGGAAGUGAAAAGAAGACCAAUCAAAAGCAAAAAAAUAAAGGUAUGAAGAUGAAUAAAAUAAAGCCCUAAGGUUUAAAUACAAAAUGGAAUGCAUUAGUUCUAUGCAUGCCAACACAAUUGAAAUAAACAGCAAAGAUGUUCUAAAAAUCAAUUGAAAUCACUUGGUAUUGAUAUAAUGAAAAUUAGCCUAAAGAACAUGUUGGACAUUCCACCUUUCCGGCGAGGAACUAGUUACUGUAGCUUAAAUCUCAAAGAGUCAAUCUGACUUUGAGGGAAGAAUUAAACUCGUGAAAAAAUAAAGAUGUUAAAAAUGGUUAAAAGACAAAAACUAUUUUACAUUAAAAGCCAACAAUAAAUACAAUUAUAAAAUAACAUGAAUGAAAGCAAAUCCUCCAAUCCUUAAAGUAGAAAAAACAGAAAUCUAAUAUAUUUAACAGAAGCAAACCUGAUCAGGCUGAGCAACAUCAGAAAAUAUCACAUCAACCAUCCCAACAAGCAUACGGUACUUGGCUGGAUGCCUAGCAUCCUCAAUAAUAGGUAUAACAUUAGUUCGCUUCUUUGCCAUGUUAACCAAGUCCCUACCACUUCUGUGAGAAAAUUCAACGGCAUAGACUACUCCAGACUACAAUUAUUGAGAGUGUGUAUUAGUACAUGCAGCUCAUUAGUAAAACAAAGAAAAGAGCUGGGUUAAGUUUAAUUUAGACUACUUACAGGGCCAACAAGAUCAGACACAUGAGAGACGGUUGUUCCAGAAGCAGCUCCAAGAUACAGAACCCGAGCACCAGGUUUCUUUAUCCAAUAAGAUGAGACAAUUAGAAGCCAACAUACAUAAUAAUAGCAAAACACAGACUGCAAACUCAACCAUAACCAAAUAUGUAUUAGGACAAAAAACAAACACUUACUAUCCAGAUGUUGUCAACUCCUCCAAGAAUGGCAGCCGCCAACUUAGAACGGAAGGGAUUCCAUACCCUGUACUCAACCUUAGUUCCAUCUUCAUUCUGUUCGCAAAAAACAAAAAAGUAAGGAAAUCAAUACCAGUAGCUUUACAGAUGUUAUUAAUUAAGUGGUCUCAAACAAAUAUGACCGAUUAAUACAUUAUGCAAAAGAGAUAUCUUGUGCGGUGUUGAGCUAUCUUAAACGAUGUUAAACAAGUUUCUGUAAAAAUCUUUUAUUCAACAAUCUAUCAAAUAUACAGAUGAAUAGCUACAACCAUAUGAGAAACCAGAAACAGGCAUGAAUAGCCAAAAAAAAAUAAAUUGCACUCUUUGAAACUCAAAAUGCCACAAUCAAAUAAAAACAAGAAAUGAUACAACUGGCAUUGCAAAAUAUAAUAAAAAAAUUGGCAGAAUUUUUUUAAUAUUAACAAUAACUUGAAGCAGUAGAAUGAUAUGCAACAAAGGAAUAAGUAUACAUUGCUAAUUACAAAUUAAGCAAACAUGUACCAAUACUUGGAGGCUACCAGCAAAGAAUUAACUACACAUUUCUCUGAUAAGGGAUAAAUGAGUAAGAACUCUGCAACUUGGUAAAACCAAAACUUAAAAGCAACUUAUUCAAUUAAAAGGAAUUACAAAUGAACACAUCUAAAUGUGCUUAUUAAAGAAACAUGUUCAAUCAAAAAUGCUUACAAAUAAACACAUCUAAAUGUGCUUUUUAUUCGCACAUAUCAUGACAAGCUCAAAAUUAACUUCACACAUGUCUCCAAUCCCCAAAAAUGUUCCACUUAAUUUCAACCACAAAAAGUAAAGAAAAAAAUACUCAUUGCACACAGUAUAUUCAAAAAGUCAAACUUGAUCCUAUAUUUAGAAAGAGAGGGAGUAUUUGAUAUAUCAAGGCUGGUAUCCUAUACUGCACGUCUGCGCCUAAUUUUUUAAUUGAGCACCUAACCUCUUAGUUUUUGAAACCAAGGAACUAUUUCCUUGAAAUUUCAAUCACAUACGCUAGGUAGCUCAGUAGCUGUGGACAAAAUACACACGAUUUCACGUGUUCGUUUAAUGGUGCUUAGUUGAAUUUUAAUCUUAUGUGGAUAAUCAUCAUAACAAAUAUGGCCAUAUGGAAAGACCCGUAUUUUUAUAUAUCAAUAUGGCGAACUGUGAUUUUGUGAGAUAAGGUGGUUUGGUUUUUGGGAAAUAUAGGGAGCUGCAGUAGACAUGGAUUUGGGUGCGGGUAACAUUGAUGGCAAGGCAUUGAACAAGAGCUUAAUUGUGAUCUGAAAGGAAUUCGCUGAGUGAACUCUGCUGGUUGACUAGUGCUUUUGGAGGAAGAGAGAGGUAAGUGGGUCCUCAAAAGAAAAUGGUUAACAUCUCAAAUCUGGCAGGAAAAAGAGAAAAUGAGGAACCUGGAUGGCAAUUUCCAACACCGGUGACAAUAAACAACUUAUCAUUGACAUCAACCAUUGAUGACCUUGACCCCCUCACCAGUCAACCAUAGCCUCACCUUUCCCAUUACCAGAAAACAUCAUGCCGGUGACAUCUAAAGCCAAACAUAGGUUAGACCAUGAAGUUAGCAAUCUAGAAGAUUUCUUAGUUGUGAUCCAGGGUUUCACAACCAUUCUCUACACUUUUGAAAUCUACCACAAAACCGAGCUUACAUUAAAAUUUUCAAAAAUUAUGACAAUAUUUUGGUAAAUAUUCCACUUCAGCUUUGCAGAAGCCAACUAAGUAAAAUGAAAUUGCAUGCGAGGUUCAUGCAUGUAUUUUGUCCAUGUAAGCUGAUCAAAGUUGAUCAAAAAAAAUUUGUGUAUUCCAUGAUUGCAAAAUUAAAACAUUGAGACUCAAUUAAAGUACAGAGCAGCAAAGUGUCUACUAGCCUUUAUAUCAUAGUUAUCAAGGUAACAAGUUGAGUCGAGGUGAGUCGGUAGCCGGCUUAUGCGACAAAGCGCCCGAUUAGUCAUUCACAAGAACAUAUUAAAUUACAUAUAUUUAAUAUUUAUUUGAAUAUUGAUAUAUUUAUAUUUUUAAUGAUUUACUAUUUCCAUAAUGCAAGUUGUAGCAUAUCAAAUCACAACAAGAAGUGAACAAGAUCAAGUCAAAACGAAAAUUUUAUUAUAGUUGUAAUUUUUUAAACUUUUACCAAUUUCAAAUUGUAUAGAUAUUGAUAACUUCUUAAUAUUUAGUUUUAUUCAAUAUAAUUCUUAAAUUUAUGUUUAAUUUCUCAACAUCGUAUUUAGAAUAUCAUAAAUUUCAAUAUUAAGAAUUCAAUAAUUUAUGAUAAAAACAAAUAAACAAUCAUUGUUAAGAUAAAGACAAGCAUAGUAAUAUCAUAAGUCGUAACAUGACAACCAUCCUUAACAAGACAAACUCCAUUACAACUAUAAUAUGUGCUGUUUUAAUAUAAUAAUUAUAAUAUUAUAACAUGGUACUAAUAUUAUUCAGCUAAUUAUAUUUUCUUACCUAACAACUAAAAAAUUAACACCAACAAGGAAAACAGACACACCCAGCUCAUAAAUUGACAUAUUUGCAAAAGAAGUUAAAAGUCAAAACUCUUAUUUGAAUGUGUGCCCCCUCAUAAAUAUAAUUGGACCCAUAAAUAAAAAAAAGAAGCCAACAACGCAGUGAGAGGAAAAAAAAGAAAAGGAAGAAUCGUCAGUGGAAGAAGAGAAGGUAGAUAUAGAGAAGAAUCACCGGUCGUAGGAGAAGCCCAAGUUGCCAGUCGGAGUGGUACACUCUCUCACUCAGUCUCGUGCUAUCUGAACCUUUUUCCUUUCUGUAAUUUGGGAUUAAGUUUUAGGAAAUGUCGGACUGCGAAGGUUUCUUUCUUUUUUAUUUUAUUUUUACCAAUUGGUCUUCGGGUCAGGGCACACACACCUUGUCCAAGGUGACGACUUCUUUCACUGAGCGCUCGACUUGCGAUACCUCCCCCUAGUCGCCCAGACGACUUGGUACCAUAGCAACGAUCAGACGCCUAAGUGUCGCCUAGGCGACGACUUGAUAACCAUGCUUAUAUGUGUCUCUACCCUCUACAUUCUUUCUUUAUUUGUUUUAAUUUCCAUUGCAUUAAAGCUUCUUUACAUAAAGUACUUAAACACUCAUAAUUCAACAAUAAAGAUUGGGACGCAAAAAAAAAUUACAAAAGAAAAGGCAAGAGAAAGGAGGUCUUUGGUUCAAAGGCAUUGCACAACAAUGCAUCUUCGGAAAAAAAACAAAAAAGCAAAUGAAAAACAAACAAGAGAGAACAACAAGGAGAGAAUACAUGAAACAAGUAGAACCAAUAACGGCUUGCCCAAAAAAGAUUUCACAACAAGCUAUAAAAUUUCCACUUACGAUAAUUUAAUGUACCAAUUCAAUGCACUAAGCACAGGCCAUCAACAUGAAUCUAUGACUAUGAUAAAUCAGAAAGGUACCAAAGGUCUAUGGGUGACAGAUGUAAGGUACCGCCACUGUAUGAGAGACUACACCCCUACGCAAGUUGAAGUCAACAUCAUUAUGUCUAGAAUUAAUCUCAAUUUCUGUUUUAACUAAAUAUUUCCGAUAAGACCUGUUGCAUUCAUUUUUCUUCUCUAAUAAGUAAUUCAAUCUACUACUCAUUGCAUAAGAAUUAUUGUUAGGAAUCUGUGUCAACCCAAGGUAAGGACCUUACUUAAGAAGAAAAACAUGUUGAUGAGGGGAUUUAGGAGUGAUACGCCACAACAACAAAAUUUACGGCGAAAAAGUUUGCCAAGACUGUUUUCAGUUAUCACAUUAUGUUGUUGACUGUAACUAUUAUAUCGAGUUCAGGUAGUUUCCCACCAUACUAGAUUUGUAAAAUGAAAAACAAUAUAUAUAUAUAUAUAAAGACAAGCUAGACUCUCAUGAAAAAACAUUCACAAAAGUAUCAAAAUAAAUUCAAGAACAUCCGCUUCAGUAGAUCAUUUUUCUUUUAUCACAAAUUCAAUCAAGCAACCGCACUAAUCAUACAAAUGAGCAUUCAAAUUCAGAAUAUGCAAAAUUCAAAAAUGGUUCAUAUAUUAUACAAAACAUAAAUUUGCAAAACAAUAUCAAGUGAAUCCAUCAAAUCAAAUGAAAAGAUAUUUCAGAACUAAACAAUUUCAUCUAAAAGAGCAAAUAAAAAUUUUUGAGUUCCACAUGCUAAAAUAAAUACAGACAAUCUUAUGAGUUGGUACCCAACCUAGCCACCUCUCACCACUGGCGGGCCCAGAAAAUUUCAGCUCAAGGUACACUUUUCAAAAUAAAUAAUACAUAUUUUAAACAAAAAAGGCAGAAGAACAUUUUUAUCCAUAGAGAAAAGUUGGAAAUAAAUUGUGUAAUGAAAUUUUGCCUGUAAUGUUUUUAAAUCACAAAUGUUGAACUUAAAUAUUUUUCUUUUGAAAAAAUAAUAAUAACAUGCAUUGAACUGUUAAUAUCUAAUGAAUUUAUUUGAGAUACUAAAAUUGAAAUACAAAGAUAUUAUUAACAUACUAUGUUAGAAUUUAGAAAAAAGGUUGCAUAAUUUUAUUAAUAGUAUAAAAUGAUACAAUGUUCUUAAGUUUAUCAUCACAAUUGCAUUAUCAUAUUAUCACUAAUAAACUAAAAACUCAAUAAAUUUAAUAGCAAACUCGAAAUCGAAAUAUAUUCUUAAAAUUCAUGAAGUUUAUAAAUUCAAUUUAGCUUGCAUUAAUUUUUUAAUUUUAAAAGUACAAAUUUAUAUCUUUUUAAACAUGCAAAUAAAUACCAUUUAUAUAAUAAAAAAUUUAGAGAGACCCAUGGGUGCCAUCCCCAUUGCCCCAGUGUGAGUCCACCCCUGCCUCGCACAACAAAAUAAGUCAAAAGUGGGGAUUCUAUUACUACAUCCAUUUCAAAAUAAGUCUUAAUUUGAAGUUCUGAAGUCGAUAUGUGAUAUUAUAAAUUGAUUUGAUGUUGAUACGCGAUUCUUGUAAACUACGGAAAGUAUUACUAAUCACAAAAUUCGUUAUUCUCAACACUUACAUAAUUUUAACUCAAUUUUAAAUUUUACAAUUUCACAAAUUGACUUUUUAAAGUAGAAAUAGGACAUUUAUUUUGGAGCUGGAAGAGUAUGAUUUUCUUCUCAAAACCUGCCUAUUUAUUUGAAUGUAGAAACAUCAACUUGAGGAAGGAAAGCAACAAUAGAAACCAGGAGCCAGAUCUUAGAGAAUUAACUUUUGACGUUUAAAGGAAUAAAGCUAAGUUUUGAAGGCCUAACAUCUGACUAAACCUCUCCUCAAGGACAAACAUGAAGAUUCGUACUCUCAAUUUAGUAUCAUGUUCAUUUUAAUCACCGCAACAUACAAUAACAACAGUUUCAAUAGUUUAGUACUACUAAAGUUUCAUUUCCAUGGUGCAGUGCAUUUGUACCCAUAUUAAUAACACUACUUGCAACUCAGGGGGGAGUUGAAAUAAAGCAAGUUAUUUAUUAAAUUUCAUUUGAAAAAAUAAUGCAAGCUCAAAUCAAGUUUGCUGAGAUAAUAGAUUCCAAAAAUUGGAGACAAAACUAAGUACUUUACAAAUAUUGCAUUAAUCAAAAUCAAACAAAUUCACACCAGUUUUGAAUUUUAGGAUUUCCCAAAUUGACUAGAAAAAUAUGAACUUGGGGGGUAAAACUAAGAUGCGAAUAAAUAAUAGAAAUUACCUACAUGCCAUAUUAUGACUUGCAGCCCCCCAAAAAAUAAAAAUACAUGAUACUCUUAUCAUUUAAAGCUUACCCACCAACAUCAAAUGAUAAACAACAAAAUUUACUUAUCAACACAAACAAAAAAACAGAACUUUAACUAAAUUAAUAAGUUUCAACGAAGAUACCUGAACGGAUACCCUCUUCUCAUUGUACACAGCUUCACCAGGAACCAUGUUCUUAGUACAAAGAGCAUCUUCUUUUCCCUUAGCAAUAAACACACCUUCGUGUCUAUGAGGCUCAACCACAACUUUGCUACCACCUUUCAUUCCACCGCCUCUCCCACCGCGGCCUCGUCCCCUUCCAUCACCUCGACCGCCUCUCCCCCUUCCUCCUCUAUCGCUGGCAAAACCACCACCUCCUCGGCCCCUACCUCCGCUACGGCCACCGCCUCCUCUAACGCUGGCAAAACCACCACCUCCGCCCCUACCUCCGCUACGGCCGCCGCGUACUGGGGGUCUCAUGUUAGGGUUUGAGAGGGAGACAAGGAGUUGGAUAGCUUAGCUUUAUAGGGAGGGUUUACUGGUUUAGGGUUCGAAUUUGUAUUUUAUUUUAAACAUAUUUGUUAGUUAGGAUACCGUGACGGUGCUGUGACCGCCAAUUGUGAACUACUAAGUGUACAAUGUGACAAUCACUUCAGAGAAACAGUUGGGUAUAUAAUUUCUACCGUAUUCCUUUUGAUAAAGAGUACUUGAAUAAUUAAUAUUAAUUUUAGACUUUCCAAAAUACAACUAUAAAAAAUAAUACCUCUUUUAAAAUAGAAGAUCAUCUGAAGUUGACUUAAUUUUUUAAUAUUAUUUUUAGUGAUCCUAAUUUUUAUCUUAAUAGCAUCAACCAUUUAUUAACAUAUUUUAUAAAAUAAUUAGUGUAGUUGAGCUGUGGAGGAAAUAAUUGGUUUGUGCAAGAUGAAGAUGGUAUACAAAAGAACUCGCAUCACAUUCUCAAUUCAGCAAAACCUUGUCAAAAUAUCCCCUACAAUCCAAAGAAACUGAAGAUGAAAGACUUCAGUAUAAAACCACAACAUAAUAAUAAAUAGACUGAGAUUCCAAAUAACUACAAGCCAACACUAUCUAGGCAGCAGCAGCUUUUUGUUUCUUUGGCACACGGUAUGCACCAACAACACAUGCAUGGUCUCUCUCAAAGGGUUCAAGGGUGACCUGCUCACUAGGCUUGAAUUGAUCUGCUUGUAGUUUCUUCACUUCCUGAGCAAAGACGGCCUCAGCCGGAACAGUCGAGUCUAUGCAGUUUGCCUGUAAAUUUCAGACAACAGGAGUUAAAUCCCGAGAAAACCUGGUUGGUAGCUUCUUUUUAAAUUAUGCACAAUGUACAUGUGUAGCCCACACUAAAAAAAUAACCUUUACACAUGACACCUAUAAAUACUCUUGACAACAAUUAUAUUUCAGCAUUUCAUUUAUUAAAAUUCCAACACUAAGAUGCAAACCUUGAUUGAUAUAACAAAAUGACCUCCAGCUUUCAAGAAGUACGAUGCAUUCAAAGCCAAAAUUCUUGCCUGCAAAUAUAGCAAUCAAAGAACUGUUUACACAUUUUUUAUAUAAAAAAAAUGUCAAAAACCAUGAAAACAAAAGGAUGAAAUCUUGCAGAUACGAAACAUGCAAUCUCUGAGAACUUUAACUACAAGAUCAAAAGAUGGUAUGUAUCAGUCGGCCUUAUAUUUUCGUUACAGAGAAAGGAGUUUUCAUUGAUACACCACGAUCAAAAAAUCAAAUCAUCAGAAAACUCUAACUGCACAAUUCAAAAAAUAACUUACUAGCAGCAUAAAGAAAAUAAUUUCAAAUUGGAACACAUGCUUGCACAGGUAACCAACUAAUUCCACAGGCUCCACGCAAGAAUCCAACAAAAUUCAUUCACCUCCAACUUGGGCUAUUUAUUAAAAGUUGUUAUAAGAAAACAUAUAAAAUUGAAAAAAAAAUGGUGCCAACAAGUACGCGACAACAAAUGUGACUCAUAUUUAAAAGCAGAUAGGGCUAGUCAAACUUUAAAAUAUUUAAACAUGCAUCAGAAACUCGGUUUUGCAUCAUCCAUGAUGUCCUGAAGGGGAAUCCGAGUAACUCAUCAUCAGCUUGCUGAAAUAAAUAGAAGUACUCCUCAACUAAUUAUGCAGAGACAUAGCAGAAAAGUUGCAUAAACCUGGACCCAGUCAACCUUCAUGAACUAUGGCAAUGAAAGAAUUUCUAGAAACAAGGAGAAACAAUUCUAGAUUUUCAUAAAUGCAUCAGAAAAAGGAGCAACUCUUGUCAAAAUAAAAUAGAUUUUCAUAAAUGCAUCAGAAACUCGGUUUUGCAUCACCCAUGAUGUCCUGAAGGGGAAUCCGAGUAACUCAUCAUCUGCUCGUUGGUAAUGUUUUGUUAUGUACAAAC